UUGCGCCAUCUUGUAAUAUAGUGUUAUAUUCGUCCAACAGCCGGUAACCGCGUAAGGACGGGAUAAGUCAGUUCGUGUCUCAUUUAUUUACUCUUUAAAUCUGCGCUGUAACACUGGAGCGAGGCAAAUAAUCAAGUGAUGGCGAUGGGGAAAUUGUUCAGUUUAUUAUUACCUUGUUGCGUGAAGGAAGACAAAUCAGAGUCAAACCCCACGCAGCGGCUAGUUGGCGGAGAUGUCACGCAACCUUCAUACUCAGCAGUACCUCAACCCAUUCUCGACCCUCAGACAAUCCAGUCAAAUCCGGAACAUUCAUUGGAAAAAAGUUCAACAAGCGUGUAUUACACUCCCUCCAGCAGCCUUACCGCGUCAACAAAUGCUGCCGACAGACCUCACGCUACAUAAGUUAAAGAAUCAAACGCGAUCCCUUGCUAGGGAAACAUUUACUUUCAAUUCUGUGCAGAAGACUUUUCAAACGUUCCUGGAAUUAAUUCUAAGACCUGUUGGUUUCCCAGCGCUCAAACCAAGUUGAAAGAUUUACUACAGAUAAAUGACAUUCUAUUCCAUUAGAUAUGAAAGAUAUUUUGGAAUUUUUUUCUGUGUACCCAGUAGUUUAAAAGCCCUUUGGGUUAUGUAGCUUCAUUUGGUAUAUAUCCAAACCUGGACGAAUUUUGCCGCAGUGUUUGUUUUUUUUUAAUUGAUGAACCUAUACCCAGAUUUGGCCGGGGAUGAUAUGGUUGUAUCAGGUACAGAGAGGCUUACAAUCCAGGGAAGUAGAGGCUUACUGUAACACCUUGACGAAUUUAACCAAUCACGAAUACCAUGCAUAACGUCAAUCAAAAAAUGAAUUUAUAUUUUAGUUAGGAAUGUCGCAAAAUUGCUAGGUCCAUUCAGUUUUUCUCACACAGAACAAAAGCUGAUGAUGUAAAUACAGUGUUAAAUUCAGAAGAGGAAAUAAGAAGUUCA